UGGGGAAUAUUGCACAAUGGGCGCAAGCCUGAUGCAGCAACGCCGCGUGAACGAUGAAGGUCUUCGGAUCGUAAAGUUCUGUUGCAGGGGAAGAUAAUGACGGUACCCUGUGAGGAAGCCCCGGCUAACUACGUGCCAGCAGCCGCGGUAAUACGUAGGGGGCUAGCGUUAUCCGGAUUUACUGGGCGUAAAGGGUGCGUAGGUGGUCUUUCAAGUCGGUGGUUAAAGGCUACGGCUCAACCGUAGUUAGCCUCCGAAACUGGAAGACUUGAGUGCAGGAGAGGAAAGUGGAAUUCCCAGUGUAGCGGUGGAAUGUGUAGAUAUCGGGAAGAACACCAAUGGCGAAGGCAGGUCUCUGGGCUGUUACUGACGCUGAGAAGCGAAAGCGUGGGGAGCGAACAGG
rnacentral:rRNA from 1 species